rnacentral:misc_RNA from 1 species
GAUGAAGAACGCAGCGAAAUGCGAUACGUAGUGUGAAUUGCAGAAUUCAGUGAAUCAUCGAAUCUUUGAACGCACAUUGCACCUCUCGGUAUUCCGGGAGGUAUGCCGGUUCGAGCGUCAUUUGUACCCUCAAGCUCUGCUUGGUGUUGGGUGUUUGUUCCGCCUCUGUGUGUGAACUCGCCUCAAAACAAUUGGCAGCCGGCGUACUUGUUUCGGAGCGCAGCACAUUUUGCGAUCCAGAUCAACGUACAGCGGCAUCCAAGAAGCCUUAUUUAACGCUCUUGACCUCGGAUCAGGUAGGGAUACCCGCUGAACUUAAGCAUAUCAAUAAGCGGAGGA